rnacentral:misc_RNA from 1 species
UUUUUAGCAUAAAUAGUAGGAAAUAUUAUCAUCCUUGCUGAAAGUUAAAUUCAGUGGUGCAAAACUGAUGGUGGCAUUAACCAGAAAGGUUCCCCCAUUUGAAAAAACAAGAAGAAAGGUUCUAAUAACUAGAAAGGGCACACUUUGUACCGAAGUUACAGCCAGCAUUUAAUGAAGUGUUACGCUGUAAAACAAAUAGCCCACGAUGGAAAUUUUUAAAUGCUACUUCAAUCAUCAUGCCUUGAAGGAUAAAACCAAUCCUUUUGAGAAGACAUCAACAGGCUAUAAAAGUCUGGUUAAAAUAGGUAAAGUGCAAAAAUCAAUAUAUAUAUAUAUAUAUAUAACAAUGGACAAGUAGAAAAACCAAACACAUCAACUUAGCUGAGAUAUCGCAAUCAGUAUCUAUAAAUAAGCUCUAAAGGCACGACUAUGACUGAUGGGCUAUAUAUGUUUCUACCUUUUUUCUCAUCACCAAAUAGCCAAAGUGCUGAGAAUACCACAAUGAAAUGGUCUUACAGUAAUUACAUACUGUUGCAAAGGCAGUGAUGACUCAAUAUAUUGUUCUUCAAAUGAAACCGAGUCAAAUGAAUCCUUUCUAAGAUAACAAUAAUUAAUAAGGUUCUAGGCUAGUCCAAAUCCUUGCACUUAAAGGCAGAAUGUGGAUGUGCAUUACCCACAGAAGAUAUUGGUAACUAGGUGAGGAUCCCUUGCCCCAAGAAGUUACCUAGAAGCAAUAGCAUAAAAUGUGUAAGAUAUUUAUCUAGCACAAUUUAUGUCCUUAAAUCAAUUAAGACUAUAUCAGAUACUAGGCUAAGAAGCAGAUCUAUUUGGAGUAUAUUCUGCUCAAGAAAGAAUGAUUUGGUGAAGGCCAAGGUUACUUUCUGAGGAUGGCACACCGCUACUCCAGCCAGAAGAAUUUUAACUAAAUUUCAGUCUGUUUAGUAAUAUUCAUAGAGGGAAACAAUCAGAAGCAAACAUUACUGUUCAGUAAUAUUCAUAGAGGGAAAAAAUCAGAAGCAUACAUUACUAGGUGGAUAUUCAUAAUUUCCUUUAUCACACCCUCUUUUAGCCUGUUUAGUAGUAGCGCAAUGAAAACACAGAGAAAAUUAGUUGAAGUAAUGGAAUAAUCAGGAGGCAAGUCAAAUGACUUGAGCAGACAUCCAAGUUAAGAAACAAUCUACACGAAUGAGCCAGUGAAAAAGGAGCAUUUCAUUUCAAUUCCUUCUGGGGCGACAAAAGUUGUGGACCCAAAAUCAACUGGAAGCAUUGCUAUCAUCAGAUUUAGAUAUUCUAAGUUGCAUUCUAACUCCUCAAUUCUCUUACCAGAAUAAGGGGACUAAACAGGCUCCAGACCUCUUACAAUUUAGAAGGCAGUAACUUCCAUUUGGACAGACUAUGUAUAUCGCACUAGCUAAAAUCAUAAUCAGGUCAAUCAAGUUUUAGGACUCCACCAAUUCGCUUUCACCAACAUAUAAACACAAAGAGGAGCACCAAAAACAUGGCCUUUCAACCGAUUUUUGCUUAAAAUGAUCUCAUAAUGUAUAAAAUACAGGAAAAUCCUAGGCUUAAAAACCAAUUUUAGAAUUGAAUUUGCUAUGUUAAUACAAGAGUGGGUAUAAAAGAUGGAAAAUAAAUUCCCUCACAAAUAUAAGGGUCAAAACCGAAUUAGCAAAAAAUUUGAAUUGAAAAAUGUCACCCUCACAUAAACUCAUAUCAAAUAGGUGCAAAUUAUGAUCAAUGUUGAGGAUAACUCAGAAUAAAAGUGCUUACUUCAUAAGAAUAUCAUAGUAC